rnacentral:rRNA from 1 species
CAGCAGCCGCGGUAAGACAGAGGAUGCAAGCGUUAUCCGGAAUGAUUGGGCGUAAAGCGUGCGCAGGCGGUUAUAUAAGACAGAUGUGAAAUCCCCGGGCUCAACCUGGGAACUGCAUUGGUGACUGCAACGCUGGAGUGCGGCAGAGGGGGAUGGAAUUCCGCGUGUAGCAGUGAAAUGCGUAGAUAUGCGGAGGAACACCGAUGGCGAAGGCAAUCCCCUGGGCCUGCACUGACGCUCAUGCACGAAAGCGUGGGGAGCAAACAGGAUUAGAUACCCCCGUAGUCCCUGUCUCUUAUAC